rnacentral:rRNA from 1 species
AUUGAACGCUGGCGGCAGGCCUAACACAUGCAAGUCGAGCGGCAGCACUUCGGGUGGCGAGCGGCGGACGGGUGAGUAACACGUAGGAAUCUACCUAGUAGUGGGGGAUAGCCCGGGGAAACUCGGAUUAAUACCGCAUACGCUCUACGGAGGAAAGGGGGCUUUGGCUCUCGCUAUUAGAUGAGCCUGCGUCGGAUUAGCUAGUUGGUGAGGUAAAGGCUCACCAAGGCGACGAUCCGUAACUGGUCUGAGAGGAUGAUCAGUCACACUGGAACUGAGACACGGUCCAGACUCCUACGGGAGGCAGCAGUGGGGAAUAUUGGACAAUGGGGGAAACCCUGAUCCAGCCAUGCCGCGUGUGUGAAGAAGGCC